AAUAUUUGACAAUGGGCGAAAGCCUGAUCCAGCCAGGCCGCGUGCGUGAAGAAGGUCUUCGGAUUGUAAAGCACUUUAAGUUGGGAGGAAGGGGUUGAAGCUAAUACCUUCAAUCUUUGACGUUACCAACAGAAUAAGCACCGGCUACCUGCGUGCCAGCAGCCGCGGUAAUACGAAGGGUGCAAGCGUUAAUCGGAAUUACUGGGCGUAAAGGGAGCGUAGGUGGUUUGUUAAGUUGGAAGUGAAAGCCACGGGCUCAACCUAGGAACUGCUUUCAAAACUGACGAGCUAGAGUACGGUAGAGGGUAGUGGAAUUUCAUGUGUAGCGGUGAAAUGCGUAGAUAUAGGAAGGAACAUCAGUGGCGAAGGCGACUACCUGGACUGAUACUGACACUGAGGUGCGAAAGCGUGGGGAGCAAACAGG
rnacentral:rRNA from 1 species